GUUGAUGAAAGUUUAAUUUGCUGAAAAUGAUUAAAUUUAUACUACUUUGAAGGAGAAUUUUUCAAAUUUAUCUACAGAAGUAGCUGGGAAAUACUUCUAUUGAUUAAUUUAUUGAAAUUAUUGACUACUAGGCUAGCCGAAAAAAUAAUUUUUGUGAUUACAGUGAGUACCAGAAAAGACUAAAUUUUCUAAAAUUUAGGACAUUUUGAGUGCUUAGUCAUUAUUAUAAAAGGCAUCAAAUUUGGAAAACAAGAUCGAAAAUCGAUCUGGAAUCCAUACGGAUUGAUCAAACAAAAAUGGCCUUGUCUUUAAAAAACUAAGAUCAAUGUAACGUUAGAAAAAAUGUAGUUGAUCGUGAAUUGACACCAUCCGUCGAAUACACACGCAUAUCAGUUCUUGAAAAUACUCCAAGAACUUCACUAUCAUCUGGAUCAAAGACAAAUUCAUCAUCUCUACAACACACACCUAGAUCAGUUCAUGAAAGUACUCCAAAAACUCUACUAUUACCUGGUUCAAGGAUAAGCUUAUCAUCUCUACAACAUAUUCACAGAUCAAUUUAUGAAAAUACUCCAAGAACUCCACUAUCAUCUGGAUCAAGGAUAAGCUUAUCAUCUCUACAACAUACUCGCAGAUCAGUUCAUGAAAGCUGACUACUUGCUUCAAGUUCACAACAAUCUGCACCACAACAUUUCAAUAAUGCUCGAAGCUCGUCAUCUGAAUCUGGAGAUUCCUACAGUUCAAUUCAGUCUUCUCGGUCCUCAAGUCCCAGGAGUUCAAGUGAUUUCGAUGACAUAGUAAAUACGUCGCAAUUACAACAACGCUUGAAAUUAUUCCGAAAAAAAUAGUCUCGGACGUAAAAAAGGUUCUCCUCAAAAAUAAUCGGGCGGCCAUCAACUAACAAUAACGGGAAAGUCGAAAUUGAAGGAAUUCCUUUAGAUGUCAAAAGCUUUUUAAGAGCUUUGUCGGCAAAGAAAAUGAGCCUGCGUGCAAGAAGCUUAAUGCGAACCUAUUAGACAGAAAAUGAACGCGAUAGACUGAUUACUCGAAAAAAUAAAAAAUUUUUUAAUGCUCUAUUUGUCAGUUCUCGAAAUUAUAAUGAUUUCAUCAACCUUUGUUAUGCUCUACAAAGAACAAAAUUUUUGAAGCAUACAAAGAAACAUAACCCUGAACAUAAUAUCUACCAAUGGGUCACCGAUUUUCUUAAAAACGAUCGAUUUACUCGAAAAAAGUUGAACGAGAAGUCUGAAAUAUUUCCCAACAGGCAGCGA